AGAGGACCUAAUUGAAGAAAAAGGAAAAGGGAAGGCUAAGGAGUGAAGGAAGACAUCAUCUCAAUCUUUUUGUUGUACAGUUAGACUCGAAGAGGUAGCGUCGACUAGAAGAUCUCUCAUCUCAUCACAUCCUCAAGAGCUUCAUAAGUAGGUACCAUAUUUUGAAUUAAAAGUGGCAUGUACAAAGGUGUUAUUUUGAUCACAUCAGAACGUUACAAGACUUUUGUUGUAAAAAAAAAAUGGUAAUUAGUAUUUUUAAUGUUUAUACUAAUGAAAUGGUACAAAAGUUUAUAUAGUA